rnacentral:tRNA from 1 species
GGAGAGGUGGCAGAGCAUGGCUAAAUGCACCUAAUUGCUAAUCAGGCAACCCUCAGAAAUGGGGGUUCGUAGGUUCGAAUCCUACCCUCUCCG